rnacentral:rRNA from 1 species
UACGUAGGGACCAAGCGUUGUUCGGAUUUACUGGGCGUAAAGGGCGCGUAGGCGGCAAUUCAAGUCAUCUGUGAAAACUCCGGGCUUAACUCGGAAUGGUCAGGUGAUACUGCUUUGCUAGAGUGCAGAAGGGGCAAUCGGAAUUCUUGGUGUAGCGGUGAAAUGCGUAGAUAUCAAGAGGAACACCUGAGGUGAAGACGGGUUGCUGGGCUGACACUGACGCUGAGGCGCGAAAGCUAGGGGAGCAAACGGG